AUGCUCAUUCAUUAUUGAAUUGGUGUUAUAAUUCUCAUGUUGGAAAUUGCGUCUUGAUUUCUCUGGUUUGAGUUGAGUCUUCUAUACGAAUGGAGUUCAGUGUUAGAAUCGUUGCUUAUAUGAUCAGAUUUUUCUAUUAUAUCUCAGUUUGUAUAAUCCAUUUUCAGUAUUACUCUGACGUGUCAUCACUGUGUAUGUGGUGUGGCCGGCGAACGAUAGCGACCUCGAUCUUUAGACCGGUGAUCGAGCGAGAGCUUGUCUCUCAAAAUAGAAGCUCGGAGAAGUUCAUUGACUGUGCUUGACAGGGCCACAAUCAUAACACGAAGUCAAGGGUGUACGGCAGCAACCGGUGAAACUCCUGCUCUUUCCGCAUCUGCAUUAUUCUCAGCUUGAAAGGUUUGAGUAUGGGUAUAUCCAUGUAAACUUGGUGAGGAAAGAUCAAUUCAGUACGACUGUACAAGCGAAUUCUUCUUUGCCUAUUCUUUCUGGUUUUAGUUUUCCCUUGCUACCCUGAGUUGGUUUCAUGGUGUGAUCGUAUUUGGAAAGCUUGAGGUCCUGAAUAUUUUAAUUCCCAAAAAGCAAAAAAAUAAAAAUUGUAGUAGCUGCAGUUCUUUGGGGAAUUAUUGAUUGCUUUAGGGGAA